AGGUGGGGUCCAGCCACACGGCGAUCACAUAACCAUUUGUAAUAGAUACACAAUUAGUCGGAUAGGCCUUGACGAGCGACGGUAGCUAAUCACUGUCAAGGUCACUUCCCGAAGGUCAUUUGUUUUCUCGGGAUAUUCGCCUCCGUUUUGCUUGCUCCGUUGCUUCAGCUGUUACUAAAACAAUGUUCCCGCUGUACGAGGUGUCUUUAAUUAAAAUGAUUCAAUCAAUGGCUCAUCAUCAGACGAAUCUACUUCUACCACAAUGGGACCUAAAAAUACAAAAAUACUUGUAUCAAAAUAUCCAGGUUCGAUUUCAAAAUAAUAUUUAAACAAUUUAAAAUUAAUUAGUCAUAAAUUAAUGACUGAAAUUGAGAAAUAAUCAUUUAAUGUUUAUGCAAAUGAAAUUAAUAAACUAUAUAGAUAGAUGUAAAUAUAUAUUUAUAUAAGAAUACAUACAAAAAUAUGUAUGUAUGAAAUAAUUUUAGUGAUUCAAUAUAACAAUAUUUAGAAUGAUCAA